rnacentral:rRNA from 1 species
AACGAACGCUGGCGGCAGGCUUAACACAUGCAAGUCGCGCGCAUCCUUCGUGGUGAGCGGCACACGGGUGAGUAACUCGUGGGAACGUACCCUUUCCUACGGAAUAGCUCCGGGAAACUGGAAUUAAUACCGCAUACUCCCUUAGGGGGAAAGAUUUCUCGGGGAAGGAUCGGCCCGCGUUGGAUUAGCUAGGUGGUGGGGUAAAGGCCUACCAAGGCGACGAUCCAUAGCUGGUCUGAGAGGAUGAUCAGCCACAUUGGGACUGAGACACGGCCCAAACUCCUACGGGAGGCAGCAGUGGGGAAUAUUGGACAAUGGGCGCAAGCCUGAUCCAGCCAUGCCGCGUGAGUGAUGAAGGCCUUAGGGUUGUAAAGCUCUUUCAGUAGGGAAGAUAAUGACGGUACCUACAGAAGAAGCCCCGGCUAACUUCGUGCCAGCCGCCGCCGUAA